rnacentral:rRNA from 1 species
GUAAACCGGAGGAAGGCGGGGAUGACGUCAAGUCCUCAUGGCCCUUACAUCCCGGGCUACACACGUGCUACAAUGGCAGGUACAGAGGGCUGCGAAGCCGCGAGGUGGAGCGAAAUCCCAGAAAACCUGUCUCAGUCCGGAUUGAAGUCUGCAACUCGACUUCAUGAAGGCGGAAUCGCUAGUAACCGCGAAUCAGCAGGUCGCGGUGAAUACGUUCCCGGGCCUU